CUUUGAUUCACAUUUAGAAUUGCAGACUUGCCAGUGAGCUAUUGGCUCUUUUGGAAUAUUCCUUCUUUGAAGGGCAGUGGAGGCCUUGGGAGGGUAGACUCUCAGAAAUACAGUAUCAGAUGGUCCAGUUCUGCUGGAGAAAUGAAUUUGCAGCAUUUCAGGUACAAAAGCCAUGAAGUCUGAGAUGCUGCAGAAACACUUCGUAGGAGACCGCUCCUCAGUGCAGGUCCCGGCCCCACAUCUGCAGUGCUCAGGAUGUGCUAACAAGCUGCGCCACUGCCGGGGGUGGGCAGGAGUGCCCAGUACUCUCCUGACUGAGAUGCCCUCUUCCCCAGGCACCUGCUCUGCUGCUGGCCAGUGGGCACCUGGUAUCUGCAACUUUUCCGCAGACAUGAGAGGGGAAAGCUUCUUCGCUUUCCCGGAGCUCACCUCCAGAGAACUGCAUGUCCUGUAUGAGCCGAUGAGGGGAGCUCAGCAGUCAACAGCACUCAACAGAAUGUACAUAAACCACAUCCCAGGUCCUGCGCGAGGUGCUCCAUUUCUCCGUCAAUCUUCUGAGUUUCAAAGCAACAUAGACAAAUGCCUGUGA
rnacentral:lncRNA from 1 species